rnacentral:tRNA from 1 species
AAAUAUGUAUUUAAAAUAAUAAAAUCUGACUUGCUAUCAGAUAUCGUUGGCUAAACCAACCAUAUUUA